CCUACGGGAGGCUGCAGUGAGGAAUAUUGGUCAAUGGGCGCGAGCCUGAACCAGCCAAGUAGCGUGAAGGAUGAAUGCCCUACGGGCUGUAAACUUCUUUUAUAAAGGAAUAAAGUGAGGCACGUGUGCCUUUUUGUAUGUACUUUAUGAAUACGGAUCGGCUAACUCCGUGCCAGCAGCAGCGGUAAUACGGAGGCUCCGAGCGUUAUCCGGAUUUAUUGGGUUUAAAGGGAGCGGAGAUGGGUUGUUAAGUCAGUUGUGAAAGUUUGCGGCUCAACCGUAAAAUUGCAUUUGAUACUGGCAGUCUUGAGUGCAGUUGAGGUAGGCGGAAUUCGUGGUGUAGCGGUGAAAUGCUUAGAUAUCACGAAGAACUCCGAUGGCGAAGGCAGCUUACUAAACUGCAACUGACAUUGAUGCUCGAAAGUGUGGGUAUCAAACAGGAUUAGAUACCCUGGUAGUC
rnacentral:rRNA from 1 species